rnacentral:rRNA from 1 species
UACGUAGGGUGCGAGCGUUGUCCGGAAUUACUGGGCGUAAAGAGCUCGUAGGUGGUUUGUCGCGUUGUUCGUGAAAACCGGGGGCUUAACCCUCGGCGUGCGGGCGAUACGGGCAGACUUGAGUACUGCAGGGGAGACUGGAAUUCCUGGUGUAGCGGUGGAAUGCGCAGAUAUCAGGAGGAACACCGGUGGCGAAGGCGGGUCUCUGGGCCGAUACUGACGCUGAGAAGCGAAAGCAUGGGGAGCGAACAGG